UACGAAGGGGGCUAGCGUUGCUCGGAAUUACUGGGCGUAAAGGGCGCGUAGGCGGAUGUUUAAGUCGGGGGUGAAAGCCCAGGGCUCAACCCUGGAAUUGCCUUCGAUACUGGACAUCUUGAGUACGGGAGAGGUGAGUGGAACUCCGAGUGUAGAGGUGAAAUUCGUAGAUAUUCGGAAGAACACCAGUGGCGAAGGCGACUCACUGGCCCGUUACUGACGCUGAUGCGCGAAAGCGUGGGGAGCAAACAGG
rnacentral:rRNA from 1 species